rnacentral:rRNA from 1 species
UACGUAGGGGGCAAGCGUUGUCCGGAUUCAUUGGGCGUAAAGCGCGGGCAGGCGGCCCGUUAAGUCGGCCGUGAAAGCGCCGGGCUCAACUCGGCGAGGUCGGGCGAGACUGACGGGCUCGAGGUUGGCAGAGGGCGGUGGAAUUCCGGGUGUAGUGGUGGAAUGCGUAGAGCUCCGGAGGAACACCAGUGGCGAAGGCGGCCGCCUGGGCCAAUACUGACGCUGAGCCGCGAAAGCGUGGGGAGCGAGCCGG